rnacentral:tRNA from 1 species
GCAGCCACUGGCCGGCGGGCACGGCGCCGAUGGCGUUGAGGGCGCCGUCCAGGCCGGUCGCCGUGGACACGUCGCGGGUGGCCGCG